rnacentral:rRNA from 1 species
AGCAGCCGCGGUAAUUCCAGCUCCAAUAGCGUAUAUUAAAGUUGCUGCAGUUAAAAAGCUCGUAGUUGAAUUUCGGGACCAUCAUGUCGGUCGUGCCUCGGUACGUACUGGCAUUGUUGGUUUCUCCCUUCUGACGAACCAUGAUGUCAUUUAUUUGGUGUUGUGGGGAAUCAGGACUGUUACUUUGAAAAAUUAGAGUGUUUAAAGCAGGCUCACGCUUGAAUACAUUAGCAUGGAAUAAUGAAAUAGGACGUUUGAUUCUAUUUUGUUGGUUUCUAGGAUCGACGUAAUGAUUAAUAGGGAUAGUUGGGGGCAUUAGUAUUCAAUUGUCAGAGGUGAAAUUCUUGGAUUUAUUGAAGACUAACUACUGCGAAAGCAUUUGCCAAGGAUGUUUUCAUUAAUCAAGAACGAAAGUUAGGGGAUCGAAGACGAUCAGAUACCGUCGUAGUCUUAACCAUAAAACUAUGCCGACUAGGGAUCGGAUGAUGUUAAUUUUAAUGACUCAUUC